CCAGCAUUCAGUUGGGCACUCUAGAGGGACGUGCCGGUGUCAAACCGGAGGAAGUGGGAUGACGUCAAGUCCUCAUGGCCUUUAUGUCUAGGGCUACACACGUACUACAAUGGCCGGUACAAAGGGCAGCGACUCAGCGAUGAGGGGCUAAUCCCAUAAAGCCGGUCUCAGUCCGGAUCGCAGUCUGCAACUCGACUGCGUGAAGUUGGAAUCGCUAGUAAUCGUAGAUCAGCAUGCUACGGUGAAUACGUUCCCGGGCCUU
rnacentral:rRNA from 1 species